rnacentral:rRNA from 1 species
UAGGGAAUCUUCCGCAAUGGGCCAAAGCCUGACGGAGCAACGCCGCGUGAGUGAUGAAGGGUUUCGGCUCGUAAAACUCUGUUAUUAGGGAAGAACAACUGUGUAAGUAACUGUGCACGUCUUGACGGUACCUAAUCAGAAAGCCACGGCUAACUACGUGCCAGCAGCCGCGGUAAUACGUAGGUGGCAAGCGUUAUCCGGAAUUAUUGGGCGUAAAGCGCGCGUAGGCGGUUUCUUAAGUCUGAUGUGAAAGCCCACGGCUCAACCGUGGAGGGUCAUUGGAAACUGGGAAACUUGAGUGCAGAAGAGGAAAGUGGAAUUCCAUGUGUAGCGGUGAAAUGCGCAGAGAUAUGGAGGAACACCAGUGGCGAAGGCGACUUUCUGGUCUGUAACUGACGCUGAUGUGCGAAAGCGUGGGGAUCAAACAGG